rfam:Spinacia oleracea cultivar SynViroflay scaffold44863.con0002.1, whole genome shotgun sequence.
CCCAAUGGUAAUUCCGCUUAGUACGAGAGGAACCGCGGAUUCAGAUAAUUGGUUUUUGCGGCUGUCCGACCGGGCAGUGCCGCGAAGCUACCAUCUGCUGGAUAAUAGCUGAACGCCUCUAAGUUAGAAUCCAUGCCAGAACGGGACGAUUUUCUCCAGCACGUCGUACGAGGAUACGAAUAGGCUUCGGCCCCGGACCUUAGCAGGCCAUAACUCCUCUUUCGUAGAAGUCGGAAGAGGUAAUUGGCGGAUAGCAAUUUGACAGCGCGCUGGGAUGAAUCCUUUGCAGACGACUUAGACGUGUAACCGGGUCGUGUAAGCAGUCGAGUAGCCUUGUUGUUACGAGCUGCUGAGCGUAAGCCCGUGUUACCUAGAUUUGU